UUGUGAAAUGACUAUUAAUUACAAGCACAGCAUCAUCAACGGUGAUUGCAAGAACUACUGCAAUCCCUGCGGUUUUUCCUCUUGGUAAAUGCGUUCUGGUCGUGACCAAGGGUGGUCUCCCAAAUCGGCCGGGAAUAAGGCUAUUGUUGCAGAACAAAACGCUGCAACCACUGCUGUGGUAAAUAUGUUCCAGCAGAACUGCCCACCGCCGUCGGUGUAAUGAUUUCGAUAGCUGAACAAACGCCAUCUCCUGGCGUGUGAAUGCAACUGCGGCUAAAUUUG